UUCCGGUUGAUCCCGCCGGACCCGACUGCUAUUUGGGUGAGAAUAAGCCAUGCGAGUUGAAUGGGAUACCUAAAGUUCCCAUAGCAAACUGCUCAGUAACACAUGAUCAACUUACCCUAUAGAGAAAAAUAACCUCGGGAAACUGAGGAUAAUGUUUCAUAAUUGAAUUGGCUUGGAAAAGUUUUUCAAUGAAAGGGAUAAAAAAAAUGGUUUUUAUCUGCUAUAGGAUAGGAUCGUGUUCGAUUAUGGUUGUUGGUGAGAUAAUGGCUCACCAAGCCGAUAAUCGAUAGGGGCCGUGAGAGCGGGAGCCCCGAGAUGGGUACUGAGACAACGACCCAGGCCUUACGAGGCGCAGCAGGCGCGGAACCUCCGCAAUACACGAAAGUGUGACGGGGUUACCCAAAGUGUUCAAUAGAACUGUGGUAGGUGAGUAAUGUCCCCUACUAGAAAGGAGAGGGCAAGGCUGGUGCCAGCCGCCGCGGUAAAACCAGCUCUUCAAGUGGUCGGGAUAAUUAUUGGGCUUAAAGUGUCCGUAGCCGGUUUAGUAAGUUCCUGGUAAAAUCGGGUAGCUUAACUAUCUGCAUGCUAGGAAUACUGCUAUACUAGAGGGCGGGAGAGGUCUGAGGUACUACAGGGGUAGGGGUGAAAUCUUAUAAUCCUUGUAGGACCACCAGUGGCGAAGGCGUCAGACUGGAACGCGCCUGACGGUGAGGGACGAAAGCCAGGGGAGCGAACCGGAUUAGAUACCCGGGUAGUCCUGGCCGUAAACGAUGCAUACUAGGUGAUGGUACGGCCAUGAGCCGUAUCAGUGCCGUAGGGAAACCGUUAAGUGUGCCGCCUGGGAAGUACGGUCGCAAGGCUAAAACUUAAAGGAAUUGGCGGGGGAGCACCACAAGGGGUGAAGCCUGCGGGUUCAAUUGGAUUCAACGCCGGAAAUCACUAGUGCGGCC
rnacentral:rRNA from 1 species